rnacentral:rRNA from 1 species
AUACGGAGGGUGCAAGCGUUACUCGGAAUCACUGGGCGUAAAGCGCGCGCAGGCGGUCUUUUAAGUUGGAUGUGAAAUCCUAUGGCUCAACCAUAGAACUGCAUCCAAAACUGAAAGACUAGAGUCUGGGAGGGGAAGAUGGAAUUAGUGGUGUAGGGGUAAAAUCCGUAGAGAUCACUAGGAAUACCAAAAGCGAAGGCGAUCUUCUGGAACAGUACUGACGCUGAGGCGCGAAAGCGUGGGGAGC